GUGACGGGCGCGGCAAGAUCCUCAACAACGGCCAGCUCCUCACGCUGGGGCUCGAUAAGAUCUCCGGCUCCGGGUUCCAGUCCAAGCACGAGUACCUCUACGGCAAGAUCGACAUGCAGCUCAAGCUCGUCGCCGGUAAUUCCGCCGGCACCGUCACCGCAUACUACGUACGCCGACAUUCAUUCUUUCCUCUGCUUUUCGGUCUUGAUCGGAUGGCACGGUUCGCUAACUUGGUUCGGUUUGGUGUGUAUGAAUGUGCAGCUGUCGUCGCAGGGUCCGACGCACGACGAGAUCGACUUCGAGUUCCUUGGCAACGCCACCGGCGAGCCCUACACGCUGCAUACCAACGUGUUCACGCAGGGGCAGGGCCAGCGGGAGCAGCAGUUCCUCCUCUGGUUCGAUCCCACAAACGACUUCCACACCUACUCCAUCCUCUGGAACCCAAAGCACAUCAUGCAAGUGGAUUGAUCGCCGUCGCCCAACCUUCUUCUUUCUUUCAAGAACGCCGGCCAUCUAUUCAGCACAGGAUGUUCAGUGACUAAUUUUCUUGUAAAUGCAGCUUCAUGGUGGACGACAUGCCGAUCAGGGACUUCAAGAACCUGGAGGGAAAGGGGAUCGCCUUCCCCAAGAACUAGCCGAUGCGGCUCUACUCCAGCCUCUGGAAUGCCGACGACUGGGCCACGCAGGGCGGACGCGUCAAGACGGAUUGGUCCCACGCGCCGUUCUCCGCCUCCUACCGCGGCUUCAAGGCCGACGCGUGCGUGGUAAUCGCCGGCGGCCAGCCUCACUGCGGCGCCAGCGUCGGCACGGAGGUUGCCCCCGGCUCAGGCGCGGCCGAAGAUUGGUACGACCAGGAGCUGGACCUGUCGCGGCAGCAGCGGAUGCGGUGGGUGCAGAGCAACUACAUGAUCUACAACUACUGCACGGGCCCCAAGCGCUUCGCCAAGGGCGUCCCGGCCGAGUGCACCAUGUAGUCCACAUGUGGAUCGCCGGAGGAAGACGACCGGAGAUGUGUAAACUAGCCGGUGGCCAUUUACGCCCAGUUCAUGUAAUUGUGCUCACGCCCAACUCGUGUGUAAUAUAUUUCCUCCUCUAGUCCUCGUACGUUCAUCACCAGUAUGCUACUCUCUGCUCACCUUAUACAGAACUGAAACAUUCGGUUCCACGAUUGGAUUGGCACAAGCAAAAUCAUUUUAUUCUGCUUCGUCCAUUGGUAUGGUGCAUGCAUAUAGCCACACCUAAACGCCGCGCGGUACGUGUAAGGUGCAAGGCGACACGAAGCGCGAUAGAGGAAAGGACAAUGGCCUCCCUUCGUAAUGAUCCCAGCCAGCUGCAGCUGCGAACCCUACGUACGUCGUCUGCACUGCCACACUGGCCGAUGGUGAAAUGCGUGUACGUUCGAAAUUGAUCAGGUUGCAUAUGCCACCAAAUUAAUAGCAUUAGAUUCAUGAUAUAAUAUAUUUUCAUCAUAUGCCUAUUUGAUUGCACAAACAUUAAUAUAUUUUUACACAAACUUGAUUAAACUUUCAAAUAGUUUGACACUUUAAUAAAGUUGGAAGUACACUCUUUUAAGGACGGAGAAAAAAAAGAAAUUCAACACCAGUAAUGUGAAUAACGACAAGACAUGAAUAUUGUCAAAAAGUGCACUAUUCACAUCUGUUCCUGUCCUUUUUGUUUCUCUUUGUGUACUUUGAAUUUAGAUAUGAAAUUUUUAGGUGUUGUAUACAUAUAUGUCAACGUGGGCGGUUGUGGGUAAUUCUUCCCUCCCUUGCGCUUGCCCGAUCGACGUGGGCGGAUGUGGGUAUUUCCUCCCUCCCUUGUGCGGUAGGGGUGGCACGGGUCGCGGCUGCCCGGCAGAUGCGUCAUGCUAGGCGUGGGGAUCCUAUGGUCCAAAUGGUACAUAUGGAUAAGAAAUUUCCUUUACGGGACAAUCAUUCACUUUGGUCUAAAUUAAUUCCUUUGUUUCAGAAGAUUCCUAAACCAUUAGUCCACCUUUCAGCGACUAUCUGCGCGAUUGUAUGGAAACACAUGCCUUCAAAACCACACACUUUGUAAACAUGCACCGUUUGAAGGGAGAUAAGAUUUUUUGUAAGCGUCUUAGUGUGACUACUCAUCUUGGUUCAAUACUUCUCCGAUCGAGCCAUGUCUGGAAUUGCAAAGAGUAGGAUCUAUCCGUUCUUGCAUUUGUUAUACAUGUGAAGCUAAUAGAUAUGAUGGUUCUAUGUUUCGUAUGCACUCACACUCGCAUGACUAGUUUCCUUUAUGUGAUUUUGGGAACACUACUUUCAUGAAGUUAAGCCAGAUAAACUUAAUUAGAAAAUACUAAUUAUUUCAACGAGUCAUUAGUUCUGAUACCAUACAGAAUUUCACGCAUCAAUUGACCAAUUUACGCAAAAGCGGGCAAUGUGUAUUGGAGAAGCGGAGCACCAAUUUUGCAUGAACGAAUAACAAUUAAACUACACUGCCCCAGUAUUGUUCCUCUUUUUUCUUAGGAAACUCCAUUAUUGUUCCCCAGUACACUUGCGCACUUGCAUGCCAUGAACACAAGUUGCUUUGCUCAAACCGUGAAGGACAAAAAAAACAUCAUGAUUGUUGUCACUAACUCAUGCAAGAUCUUCCACAGCUGUUCACCAUAUUCUCUUAACUACCCUGUGAUUGCAAAUGAAAUGAUCAUAAUUAAAAGUAAGAGUGGGGGUGGGGGAGCAGAUGUACAACAUACAUUCAUGCUGGUAAUCCCCGUCUUGCAUGCCACAGCCGCCUAGACGACGAUGACACUGACUCACGGACCGGGUCGACGAUGACACUCUCGCCGUGCAUGCCACAGCCGCCUAGACGGCCAGCUCGGCCGCGUGGAUCUUUACACGAACCUGCCCCGGCACCACGCGCGUCACCAGCCCGCGCGCGUGCGCAUGGCUGGCGCAGCACAAAGAAUGUAGGUUUCUGGAGACCGCUAUACUGAGCGAGUACGUGACACGGCUUGCUUUUGCUUGGGUUAUAGCACGGUUUGGACUGAUGAGUGAGUAUUGAGUAGCCGGCUCCAAAUCCAGCUUGUGCAGAUCUGUGACACUACGGGCACGGAGGAGGAAGGUUGUUGUGCCCAUAUAAUUCGCGAGUUGGUACAAUUAUACGGCUGCUGCUGAUGAUUAACACGGUGCAAGGCCCACGAAUGAAUGGACGUCGCCAUUGUGCACCCACGUACAUGCAUCGCAUAGCAUGGCCCCGGCCGGAGCCGGACGCGCAGAGUUAAGGCGUGCGGCGGAGCGCAUCCCAUGCGCCCGGCAGGGGUUUAGACUAGAUCCGAGAUCAAGUCCCCAACGCCAGGGUUGUUUAAUGGCGACUGAAGAAGCAGUCGUACGCAACGCCUUUCAACUCCACUUGAAUUCGCUACACCGGCCCGCCCGAUCGAUCUACUCCAUGCUCGAAGUCGCCAUUGGCCUCUAGCCCUCUAGGCUCUGCUAGUAGCUACCGUCUAGCUAGAUCUCCCUGGCUCUGGCUGUGUCGAUCGAGCGAGCUGGCGCACGUACGGUCGAUCGAGUUGAUCUGCAACCCCACCCUCUUCAUGGCGUUCUACCAGCCACUGCGAUCGCGGGCAACAAAUCCCGAAAUAUCUUGGCCUCACUCUGUGUAGUAGGCCGUACUGUAGUGAAUUCUGUAAAUGUUCGACAAGGGUCUGGAUUCUGUAAAUGUUUUAACUCUGUGUAGGUGCCGCGGUAAUCUAGAGGACUAUACUGUGUCUCCCACACGUCCGGCCCGUACUGCAAUUUGUUCCACGUCUGAUUUUCCACGGAUGAGGAGAUAUGAAUAGAUGACCCGCGUACAAAUGUGCGAGCGUCGCCUCGUCUAGCUCGAAAGCGUGGCCAAUUCCUCGGAGUACUCCGUCCCUACUCCCCAUAUUAGUUUUGUCUUACUUAUAUCAAAGUUUUUAAAGAUUGACCGAGUUUAUACGGAAAAAUAUCAACACUCGCAGUAACAAAUCAAUACCAUUUGAUCCAGCAUAGAAUAUAUAUUCAUGUUGUAUUUAUUUGGUAUUAUAAAUGUUUAUAUUUUUCUAAAAGCUUUGUCAAAGUUUACAACAUUUGAUUUAAGACAAACCUAAUAUGCGGAUUUACUUGUCACUCAAACAGAUGUAUGUAGCACUAAAUUACGUCUAGUUUUUGGUGCAUUUUUUUACUUGCAUGCAGUUUCCUUUGAAAAAUCUAUGUCGUACAAUUAGGUUUGGAACCGACUAAUAAGGAGUCCCCUGAAGUUCUAAUUGGGCCCGUCAAUGUUAUUUACCGUGUCCAACAAAGAUAGCUCAGCUGCACGGUGAGAAACCAAGGAAGAAAGGAUGCGUACAGACGGUGAAUUGGUUCACGUACCUUGCCUGUACGUGGUUAACUUGCGUGUUUCUCUAGACUAAUGAAUCUUCACAUUAGUGGAGCUAGCACAUGACAAUGAGAGCAAAGGAAAAACAAAGAUAAAAUAGUGUUUUGUAAGGAAAAAUGAAUCAUGAGAGUGGAUUAACGCUAAAUUAAAAAAACAUAAAUUUGGAAACGGAAAUAAUAUUAUGCAACUAUACGUACCUAAAUUCUAAAAAGUGCAUAUGCACUAAUUAGAGGAAACGGGCGGCCGGUCUUACACACGCAUGCAUGUAGUUUUGUGGUCUAAAUUUUGUCUUUAUUCGUGACGUGCCAUGUACUACUAGGAUGGUCACAUGGGCAAGACACCGCAUUAUUCCAUGGAUGCGCAUGUCCAUUUAUUCGGGUUUUCAAAUUUUUAAAAAGGCAUAUCUUUUAAACCGUGCUUCGGAAUUUAGAUCCGUUUUCACUAUUGAAAUCCUCGCGACGAGAUCUUUGAAACUAGAUCCCGCAUGGGUAUGUUUUGACGAAUUUUUUUUGAUGCCAACUUUGAUGCUAUAUUGUGCAACUCUAUUACUGUAUCGUGCAACUUUAUUACUACAUCGUGCAACUUUAUUACUACAUCGUGCAACUUUUUUUCAAAACUAAUGUUUGGAGCUGCACCUUCGUAUGAGGUUGCAACCUAGCAACCACGACAACUUUGAUGUGCAACUAGUCUAUUGCCUCGACGAAAGUCGAUGUGCAACCUCCUCUUGUAAUGUAGUCUAUUUGCACACACAUUGAUGUUUAGUUGGCUUGUAAUGUAAUCUAGUUGCACACACAUUGAUGUUUAGUUGCCUUGUAAUAUAGUCUAGUUGCACACACAUUGAUGUUUAGUUGGCAGGAAGACUAGUUGCACACACAUAUGCUCAGUUGGCUUGUAAUUUAGUCUAGUUGCACACACAUUGAUGUUUAGUUGGCAGGACACUAGUUGCACACACAUAUGCUCAGUUGGCGCGGCAAUCUAGUAUAAUUGCACACACAUUGAUGUUUAGUUGGCAGGAAAACUAGUUCGUCGAAACAUCCCCAUGCGGGAUCUAGUUUCGAAGAGCACGUCGCGAGAAUUCCAGCGGUGAAAACGGAUCUUAAUUCCGACACGCGGAUUAAAAGUUAUGCUUUUUUUAGUUUUUAAACCACGAUUAAAUACAUCAAAGAAUAAAACGCAUACAUCAAAGGGAUGGCUGUGCAGAUAUUUAAGAACCAGGUGAAAAGCUUUCUUAAUUACGAUGGUUAAUUAGGAAGGGGACACAAAAUUUCCAGUUUAGGCCGGCCGCUCGCGUAGGCUAAGCAAGCAGCCGGCCGCUCGCUAGACUUGGCCCUAUACGUAACAUAACAUAACAUAAAAACUUCUAUAGUAAUAUACUAAAAUAAAAAAUAAAGUUUUAAAAUAAUGAAUUAGUGGCAUUGGUAUUACCCAAAAAAGAAAAAAACGACAAAAUUUGCACACAAUUUACCCAUAAGCUGCAUCUUUUAUCAUAUGCAAGAAUAAGCAUAAGAAAAUGGAAUUUUUCAAGAAACAAAUUUCUAAGAAAAAAAUGAAUUGGUGACACUCGUAUUACCCUUACAAAGAAAGGAAAUAAAAUGAAAACUAAAACAAAUCAAAAUUAAUAAGUUUUCUCAAAAAAAAUGAAUUAGUGGCUUUGGUAUUACCCUUUCUGAAGAAAGAAAAAUGAAAAAUUUGCACACAAUUUACUCCUAAGUUACGCUUUUUGAAAUAUAUGGAAGAAUAAAUUUUGCACACGAUUUAAAUGGAAAUUAUACCUUCUUUUAUGAUAUGCAAGAAUAAGCAUCCAAUAGUGGACUUUUGUUUUGCAAAAACCAAUUUUGAUCAAGGAAUGAAUUAGUGGAAUUGGUUUACCCUUAAACAAGAAAGAAUUUGGAAUAAAAAUAAAAUAAAAUAAACUCAAUGUAGUAAGUUUUCUAAGUGAGAGUGAAUUAAUGUCAUUGGUACUUUUUAAUACGCUAGAAUAUUCACAAAUAAGGAAUGAACUAGUGGAAGUGGUAUUACCCUUAAAAGAAAUAAAACGAAAUAAAAAAUAUAAUUGGUAUAAUUUACACACAUAUUGUGUAGUACUCCCUCCUUCCCAAAAUAUAAGCCGCGCUUUGACUUUUCUGGUCUUUAUCGUACACUUUGACUAUGAUUUUUAGUUAUUGCAUGUCCACUAAAUUAUUAUAAAUGUACAUUAAAUAAAAUUGUUUUACAGCACAAAUACAACCUUGGCAGUUAUACAUAUUCAAUCCAUGAAAUGUUGUGCAUCAAAGAUCGUGAAAAGUUAAGCGUGCCUUACAUUUUGGGAAAGAGGGAGUGCUUGUGUGUAUACUUGCACACAAAAAUAGAAAAUUACAUUUUCCCUGAAAGAAUGAAUUAGUAGCAUUGGUAUUACUCUUUUUUUUGUUGAAUCAUUGGUAUUACUCUUAAGAGGAAAGAAAGAAAAAAUAGUGAAUUAUUUCCACAUAAUUUACAUAUAAAUUGUGUUUUUUAUGAUAUGCAAAACAAGCAUAUAAAAGUGCAACUUUUGCAAAGAAAAAGUUUUUAGAAUGAAUGAAUUAGUGGCAUUGACACUACCCUUAAAGUAGAAAGAAAAUGAAAUUAAACACAAUAAAAAAAACUGCAGUUUUCGAAGAAAAAAUGAAUUAGUGUUAUUGGUGUUAUCCUNNNNNNNNNNNNNNNNNNNNNNNNNNNNNNNNNNNNNNNNNNNNNNNNNNNNNNNNNNNNNNNNNNNNNNNNNNNNNNNNNNNNNNNNNNNNNNNNNNNNNNNNNNNNNNNNNNNNNNNNNNNNNNNNNNNNNNNNNNNNNNNNNNNNNNNNNNNNNNNNNNNNNNNNNNNNNNNNNNNNNNNNNNNNNNNNNNNNNNNNNNNNNNNNNNNNNNNNNNNNNNNNNNNNNNNNNNNNNNNNNNNNNNNNNNNNNNNNNNNNNNNNNNNNNNNNNNNNNNNNNNNNNNNNNNNNNNNNNNNNNNNNNNNNNNNNNNNNNAAAUUGUUUUUUAAUAUGCAAAGAAUAAGCAUAUAAUAAUGCAUUUUCGUAAACUAGUGUUUACACACAUAUUUUAUAGUGUUUGUGCAUAUAAAUUUACACUCAUCCAACAUCCCAAAAAUACUAAUAAAGAAAAUGAACAAACAAACCGAGGGUAAAUGGACGAGCUAGUAGAGAGAUGGGUCGAUCGCUGAGCUAAAAGAGAGGGAGGGAAGAAAAGGGUGAGUCACCUCAGUGGGCUAGAGAGAGGAGGGCACAUGAAUAUUGGGGUAAUGAGCUUCCGCCCGUCAAGUAACCGACUGAUAAAAAAAAGCCAUCAGUCGAAAUAUUCAUCAGCCCAAAGAAGACAACACCCAAAUCAACUGACCCAAAUUUAAAAAAAUCAGGCACUUAUAUAUAUAGUUAUAGUGAUUUAGGUUUCUGCACUUGAGAUUUUCUCAUGAAAGAGGCACUUGCAAAUAAAUGCAAAAGGAUUGGAAGCGCCUGAGGAAUGAAACCACCAUGUGUUGGUAAUCCAGACUGAAAAGGGAUUGUCAAGCCGGGACACAUAAUGACAGAACCAGCUCGUCCUCAACAGCUGCCGAAACUUCACAUACCGGAGGAAGAAGAAAAGGCUGAUCAUCCAUCCCCUGCUCCAUGAUUUUCUUCUUCUUCUCUGUAGUGCCAUAUGCUUGCAAAACACAGGGCCAUCUCAAACGCCAUGGCUACAAAUUAGGAGCCGUUGCAUCCCGAAAUCUGCUACACGUCUCGAUCGAUUUUAAUGUGUUACUGUACGUACGCGAGCCUGUCUGCCUGUGGCAUCGCCGCGCCAACCUUCUCAUUGUCCAUCACGCGCUACGUAGAGGGCCGUCCUGCCCGCCCUGUCUCCUCUCCUCUCCUCUGGCGCCAACUCACACGCAUUACACUCACCGGGCUGGCAAAGUUCGGAGAACCAUCCACCAGGCACGCCACGCUCAUCUCCUGACCACUAUAUAAACCCCUCAUGCCCUGCUCGUUCCACUCACACAAACACAAGCUUCCAUCGGGCUUUCUCCUCCUCAUCAACCUUCUUCUACUACUAGUUGUUCCUAGCUAGCUGGUUGAGUGAGCUUGCUUUCGGGAGCAAGAAACGCAUGGCGGUGUCCUCGGUGCUGGCGAUCCUGCUCGACGCCUCGUGUGCCCUUGCGUCGGCGACCUUCGACAAGGAGUUCGACAUCACCUGGGGUGACGGCCGAGGGAAGAUCAUGAACAAUGGCCAGCUCCUCACGCUGGGGCUGGACAAGGUCUCCGGCUCCGGAUUCCAGUCCAAGCACGAGUACCUCUACGGCAAGAUCGACAUGCAGCUCAAGCUCGUCCCCGGCAACUCCGCCGGCACCGUCACCGCAUACUACGUAAUUAAGCCGACAUCAUCUGCUUCUUGGUUUGCUUAGUUCGUGUGCGUGCCUAACAAAAAUCGAUUGGUUUGGUG
rnacentral:lncRNA from 1 species